GAUGAACGCUGGCGGCGUGCCUAAUACAUGCAAGUCGAGCGAACAGACGAGGAGCUUGCUCCUCUGACGUUAGCGGCGGACGGGUGAGUAACACGUGGAUAACCUACCUAUAAGACUGGGAUAACUUCGGGAAACCGGAGCUAAUACCGGAUAAUAUAUUGAACCGCAUGGUUCAAUAGUGAAAGACGGUUUUGCUGUCACUUAUAGAUGGAUCCGCGCCGCAUUAGCUAGUUGGUAAGGUAACGGCUUACCAAGGCAACGAUGCGUAGCCGACCUGAGAGGGUGAUCGGCCACACUGGAACUGAGACACGGUCCAGACUCCUACGGGAGGCGGCAGUAGGGAAUCUUCCGCAAUGGGCGAAAGCCUGACGGAGCAACGCCGCGUGAGUGAUGAAGGUCUUCGGAUCGUAAAACUCUGUUAUUAGGGAAGAACAAAUGUGUAAGUAACUAUGCACGUCUUGACGGUACCUAAUCAGAAAGCCACGGCUAACGACG
rnacentral:rRNA from 1 species